rnacentral:rRNA from 1 species
GACGAACGCUGGCGGCGUGCUUAACACAUGCAAGUCGAACGGAAAGGCCCUGCUUUUGUGGGGUGCUCGAGUGGCGAACGGGUGAGUAACACGUGAGUAACCUGCCCUUGACUUUGAGAUAACUUCAGGAAACUGGGGCUAAUACCGGAUAGGAGCUCCUGCUGCAUGGUGGGGGUUGGAAAGUUUCGGCGGUUGGGGAUGGACUCGCGGCUUAUCAGCUUGUUGGUGGGGUAGUGGCUUACCAAGGCUUUGACGGGUAGCCGGCCUGAGAGGGUGACCGGCCACAUUGGGACUGAGAUACGGCCCAGACUCCUACGGGAGGCAGCAGUGGGGAAUAUUGCACGAUGGGCGGAAGCCUGAUGCAGCAACGCCGCGUGCGGGAUGACGGCCUUCGGGUUGUAAACCGCUUUCGCCUGUGACGAAGCGUGAGUGACGGUAAUGGGUAAAGAAGCACCGGCUAACUACGUG